rnacentral:rRNA from 1 species
GCUUAACACAUGCAAGUCGAGCGGUAGCACAAGGGAGCUUGCUCCCUGGGUGACGAGCGGCGGACGGGUGAGUAAUGUCUGGGAAACUGCCUGAUGGAGGGGGAUAACUACUGGAAACGGUAGCUAAUACCGCAUAACGUCGCAAGACCAAAGAGGGGGACCUUCGGGCCUCUUGCCAUCAGAUGUGCCCAGAUGGGAUUAGCUAGUAGGUGGGGUAAUGGCUCACCUAGGCGACGAUCCCUAGCUGGUCUGAGAGGAUGACCAGCCACACUGGAACUGAGACACGGUCCAGACUCCUACGGGAGGCAGCAGUGGGGAAUAUUGCACAAUGGGCGCAAGCCUGAUGCAGCCAUGCCGCGUGUGUGAAGAAGGCCUUCGGGUUGUAAAGCACUUUCAGCGAGGAGGAAGGUGGUGAACUUAAUACGUUCAUCAAUUGACGUUACUCGCAGAAGAAGCACCGGCUAACUCCGUGCCAGCAGCCGCGGUAAUACGGAGGGUGCAAGCGUUAAUCGGAAUUACUGGGCGUAAAGCGCACGCACGCGGUUUGUUAAGUCAGAUGUGAAAUCCCCGGGCUCAACCUGGGAACUGCAUUUGAAACUGGCAAGCUAGGGUCUCGUAGAAGGGGGUAGAACUCCAGGUGUAGCGCUGAAAUGCGUAAAGGUCCGGAGGAAUACCCGUGGGGCAAGCGGCCCCUUGGACGAAAGUGAAACUCCCGGCGAAAGCGUGGGGACCAAUAGGCUGGAUACUAUCGUAAACCGGGUCU